CUACCUGCUCGGCUGCUCCUAUACCCUUUCUCUCUCAUAUUCUCUCAUACAAUCUCCUCUAAGUCUCUAACCAUCCUACCCCUGUUUUUCCAUUUUAAUUAUCUGAAAAAUCAAGCUCGAUCUGCGAAUAACAUGGCACGAACCGCUGCGAAGAAGGAGACGUCUCGAAGCAAAAAUUCCAACAUUUCCAUGUCUCAAAUCUGGUUUAUCAAUCGAAGGUUGAGAGGCAAGCUUCAUCAAAGACGAAGUAUAAUUAAAGUUUAAUCUUAGUUGUUGGGAUGAAUUCGUGGAGGGAUCCGUGAAAUCAUUUCGUGCCGAUCUUGGAUCUACUCGUUAUUCGAUGAUAUCGGCAGUGUGAUGGAAAAUUAGUUCUCAAACUCACCGAUUACAUGGAGUAUGUUGAACCUCAAAACCAUGUGAAGGUCUCGCAAGCAGAGCUCUUGAUCAUUGACGAUGCAGCUGCUAUACCGUUGCCUGUUGUCAAGUCAUUGCUGGGUCCCUACCUGGUUUUCUUAUCCUCCACAGUGAAUGGGUAUGAUGUGCAUGCUCACCCUGUCUAGUAGUGAACAUUCUAAGAACUUUCAUAUGAACAUUCUAAGAACUUUCUUAUGAACAUUCUAAGAACUUUCAUAUGAACAGUGAACAUUCUAAGAACUUUCAUAUGAACAUUCUAAGAACUUUCAAGUAGGGUGGGUUAGUGGGUUACUGUUGGUGUUUUUUUUAUUUUUGUUGCUUGUUCUGCGUAUAUUCAGUGUUGUUUGUUUUGCGUAUAUGAAGUACCUGUCAUUAUUAUUUGUUCUGCAUAUUGUUAAAUAAAUGUUGUGAGAUGCAUGGGUAGUGUGUUGCAUUUGUGGCUGCUUUGUCUGAACAGCUUAUAUGUGCUCCUUUUAUGCGUUAAUGCUCUCUCUUGACUUUUCUUCUCACAUGUCUGCCUUGUUUUCUUUUGUCUGCUGAGGCUGAAGCAAGCUGAACUUGCUGGUGGAGGUGCAGGAGUGGGAGAUAAUCGCUCAGUAGGGAGAUCUCAGUAUUUUUACUUUUGGUCUGAAUUGUAUACUUAAUAUAAAUUAUUAGAAAUACAAUGAUUGUUUCCCGUAUUGUAAGAUUUAUAAUGGUUAUUGUCCUUAUGUUUUAAGCCUUA